UUCACAGCUUACAAACAUGAAGCAGGGGUGGUUAUAAAUCCAGGAUCUGCUACUGGUGCCUACAGUAGCAUCACAUAUGAUGUCAACCCUAGCUUUGUUCUCAUGGACAUUGAUGCCCUGCGUGUUGUGGUCUACGUUUAUGAACUCAUUGAUGGAGAGGUCAAGGUCGACAAGAUUGAUUUCAAGAAGACAACCACACAAAGUGCUAAUUGAAUAGAAGAACUUGUAAUUCAGCUGAUUUUACUGGAAUCCCAAGCCUUAGAGCUUGUUUCUAAGGCUUUUUCUGCUAACUUUUGUUCUUUAUUUUCCUGUUGCUUCUGAUAAUUCAGGUUUAUGUCCUGUUACUUCAGCAAGUGUGCUGGUUGAAAGGAAAAAAAAAAACACUGUUUAUU
rnacentral:misc_RNA from 1 species